AGAUUGAACGCUAGCGGGAUGCUUUACACAUGCAAGUCGAACGGCAGCGCGGACUUCGGUCUGGCGGCGAGUGGCGAACGGGUGAGUAAUAUAUCGGAACGUGCCCAGUAGCGGGGGAUAACUACGCGAAAGCGUGGCUAAUACCGCAUACGCCCUACGGGGGAAAGGGGGGAGUCGCAAGACCUCUCACUAUUGGAGCGGCCGAUAUCAGAUUAGCUAGUUGGUGAGGUAAAGGCUCACCAAGGCGACGAUCUGUAGCUGGUUUGAGAGGACGACCAGCCACACUGGGACUGAGACACGGCCCAGACUCCUACGGGAGGCAGCAGUGGGGAAUUUUGGACAAGUGGGGAAACCUG
rnacentral:rRNA from 1 species